AUUGAACGCUGGCGGCAGGCCUAACACAUGCAAGUCGAGCGAGCGGCGGACGGGGGAGGAAUGUCUGGGAAACUGCCUGAUGGAGGGGGAUAACUACUGGAAACGGUAGCUAAUACCGCAUACCAUCAGAUGUGCCCAGAUGGGAUUAGCUAGUAGGUGGGGUAACGGCUCACCUAGGCGACGAUCCCUAGCUGGUCUGAGAGUAUGACCAUCCUCCCUGGUACUGAGACCCGGUCCAGCCUCCUACGGGAGGCAGCAGUGGGGAAUAUUGCACAAUGUGCGCAAGCCUGAUGCAGCCCUGCCGCGUGUGUGAAGAAGGCCUUCGGGUUGUAAAGCACUGUCGGCGGGGAGGCGUUACCCGCAGAAGAAGCACCGGCUAACUCCGUGCCAGCAGCCGCGGUAAUUC
rnacentral:rRNA from 1 species